AGAUUGAACGCUAGCGGGAUGCUUUACACAUGCAAGUCGAACGGCAGCGCGGACUUCGGUCUGGCGGCGAGUGGCGAACGGGUGAGUAAUAUAUCGGAACGUGCCCAGUAGCGGGGGAUAACUACGCGAAAGCGUGGCUAAUACCGCAUACGCCCUACGGGGGAAAGGGGGGGAUCGCAAGACCUCUCGCUAUUGGAGCGGCCGAUAUCAGAUUAGCUAGGUUGGUGGGGUAAAGGCCCACCAAGGCGACGAUCUGUAGCUGGUUUGAGAGGACGACCAGCCACACUGGGACUGAGACACGGCCCAGACUCCGUACGGGAGCAGCAGUGGGGAAUUUGGACAAUGGGGGAACCUGAUCCGAGCCAUCCGCGUGUCGGCGAUGAACGGCCGUUCGGGUUGUAAACGCCUACGUUUUCGGACGUAGGGAACGAACGGUACGGUCG
rnacentral:rRNA from 1 species